rnacentral:rRNA from 1 species
CUACGGAGGAUCCGAGCGUUAUCCGGAUUUAUUGGGUUUAAAGGGUGCGCAGGCGGCCAUUUAAGUCAGCGGUUAAAUCGUGGGGCUCAACCCCAUUCUGCCGUUGAUACUGGGUGGCUUGAUUGCGGUCGAGGUUGGCGGAAUUCGUUGUGUAGUGGUGAAAUGCAUAGAUAUGACGAAGAACACCGAUUGCGUAGGCAGCUGACCAGACCGCAAAUGACGCUCAUGCACGAAAGUGCGGGGAUCGAACAGGAUUAGAUACCCUGGUAGUCCGCACAGUAAACGAUGAAUACUUGUUUUCGGCGAUAUAAUGUCGGAGGCAAAGCGAAAGCGAUAAGUAUUCCACCUGGGGAGUACGCCGGCAACGGUGAAACUCAAAUGAAUUGACGGGG